rnacentral:rRNA from 1 species
UCGCGAAAACUUCGCAAUGUCCGAAAGGAUGACGAGGGAACCCUAAGUGGCCCGUUACAAACGGGUCUUUUGUAUGACCUAAAAAGUCGUAAGAAUAAGGGCUGGGUAAGACUGGUGCCAGCCUCCGCGGUAACACCAGCAGCUCAAGUUGUGCCCACGUUUAUUGGGUUUGAAGCGUACGUAGUCGGUGUUGCAAGUUCCCUGUAAAAUCCUAUGGCUCAACCAUAGGAACGCAGAGAAUACUACAACACUAGGGGUCGGGAGAGGUAUGAGGUAUUCCUCGGGUAGCGGUGAAAUGCUAUAAUCCGAGGAGGACCACCAGUAGCGUAGGCGUCAUACUAGAACGAGCCCGACGAUGAGGAACGAGAGCUAGGGGAGCAAACCGGAUUAGAUACCCACGUAGUCCCUGAGCGGGCUGGCAAGGCGCAU